AAUCAACGCUGGCGGCGUGCUUCAGACAUGCAAGUCGAACGCGAAAGUUUCCUUCGGGAAGCGAGUAGAGUGGCGCACGGGUGAGUAACACGUAAGUAAUCUACCUUUGGGUUGGGGAAUAACUCAGGGAAACUUGAGCUAAUACCGCAUAAUGCAGCGGCUCCUUAUGGAGACAGUUGUUAAAGAAUUUAUUCGCCUAA
rnacentral:rRNA from 1 species